AGAGUUGAUCAUGGCUCAGGAUGAACGCUAGCUACAGGCUUAACACAUGCAAGUCGAGGGGCAGCAUGAAGUUGCUGCAAACUUGAUGGCGACCGGCGCACGGGUGAGUAACGCGUAUCCAACCUUCCCUAUACUAGAGGAUAGCCCGGCGAAAGUCGGAUUAAUACUCUAUGUUCUUCGUAGAAGACAUCUGAAAUGAAGCAAAGGUUUACCGGUAUAGGAUGGGGAUGCGUCUGAUUAGGUUGUUGGCGGGGUAACGGCCCACCAAGCCUACGAUCAGUAGGGUUCUGAGAGGAAGGUCCCCCACAUUGGAACUGAGACACGGUCCAAACUCCUACGGGAGGCAGCAGUGAGGAAUAUUGGUCAAUGGACGAGAGUCUGAACCGGCCAAGUAGCGUGCAGGAUGACGGCCCUAUGGGUUGUAAACCGCUUUUAUACAGGGAUAAAGUUCACUACGUGUAGUGUUUUGUAGGUACUGUAUGAAUAAGGACCGGCUAAUUCCGUGCCAGCCGCAGC
rnacentral:rRNA from 1 species